UACGAAGGGGGCUAGCGUUGCUCGGAAUCACUGGGCGUAAAGGGCUGCGUAGGCGGGUUUUUAAGUCAGGGGUGAAAUCCUGGAGCUCAACUCCAGAACUGCCUUUGAUACUGAAGAUCUUGAGUUCGGGAGAGGUGAGUGGAACUGCGAGUGUAGAGGUGAAAUUCGUAGAUAUUCGCAAGAACACCAGUGGCGAAGGCGGCUCACUGGCCCGGUACUGACGCUGAGGUGCGAAAGCGUGGGGAGCAAACAGG
rnacentral:rRNA from 1 species